rnacentral:rRNA from 1 species
AACGAACGCUGGCGGCAUGCCUAACACAUGCAAGUCGAACGAGACCUCCGGGCCUAGUGGCGCACGGGUGCUUAACGCGUGGGAAGCUGCCCGUAGGUUCGGUAUAACUCCCCGUAAGGGAUGCUAAGACCGGUGAAGGUCUUCGCACCAAAGAUUUAUCGCCUUUGGGUGGGGGCUCGUUGGUUUAGCUAGUUGGUAGGGGAAAAGCAUAGCAAGGCGACGAUGCAUAGCUGGUGUGGGAGGAUGAUAUGCCACACUGGCACUGCGACACGGACUAGAAUCCUACGGAGGGCAGCAGUAGAGAAUAUUGGACAAUGGGGGCAGGCCUGAUACCGCCACGCGGGGGGAGUGAUGAAGGCGGUAGGGUUGUAAAGCUGUUUUAGCCGGGAUGAUAAUGACAGUACCGGGAGAAUAAGCACCGGCUAACUACGUG